CGCGCAGCGACGAUCAUCUCGUGCAACGCCUUYUCAUUCGUUGGUUCAAGUGCGCUUUUGCCUUGGCCGUGCUUGGUUUUCUGUGUUGCAUACCUAUCGUGAAGGCAUUUGUUCGUUGAAAAAUUAUAUCAUCCAUCAAGAGCCUCCUCCCUCGGGAAAGAGGAAUCUUGUGGAACCUAAAGCAGAUAAUUUGUCCCACGUCCCUUGCACUCGUUGUGCUGURGACAGUGGAACAUUCUUGCUUGCUCGAUCUUUUGGGUGCGGUAUACACAGUGGGUAAGAGGCCUMCAGCCUCAAUUSAUCCCAUAAUAAAAAAAGCGUUCGACGCUUCAUGCGAACGACUGYUGUUGUCGUUUUGGCCCGCGACCUAGUGUCUMGUGUCAUGCGAUAGCGGCGUCGGUGAGGAAUGC
rnacentral:misc_RNA from 1 species